rnacentral:rRNA from 1 species
GACGAGCGCUGGCGGCGUGCUUAACACAUGCAAGUCGAACGGAAAGGCCCUGCUUUUGUGGGGUGCUCGAGUGGCGAACGGGUGAGUAACACGUGAGUAACCUGCCCUUGACUUUGGGAUAACUUCAGGAAACUGGGGCUAAUACCGGAUAGGAGCUCCUGCUGCAUGGUGGGGGUUGGAAAGUUUCGGCGGUUGGGGAUGGACUCGCGGCUUAUCAGCUUGUUGGUGGGGUAGUGGCUUACCAAGGCUUUGACGGGUAACCGGCCUGAGAGGGUGACCGGCCACAUUGGGACUGAGAUACGGCCCAGACUCCUACGGGAGGCAGCAGUGGGGAAUAUUGCACAAUGGGCGGAAGCCUGAUGCAGCAACGCCGCGUGCGGGAUGACGGCCUUCGGGUUGUAAACCGCUUUCGCCUGUGACGAAGCGUGAGUGACGGUAAUGGGUAAAGAAGCACCGGCUAACUACGUG